UCCCUCCCUCUCUCUUUUUUCUUUCUUUCUUUCUUUCUUUCUUUCUUUCCUUCUUUCUUUUUUUCUUUCUCUGCUUCCCUCUCUCGACGAUGUAGAAGGCAGAAGUUAAUUAAAAAAAAGGCGCGAACUACUUUGUUGAUGUAUCGAUUCUUCCUUUUUUAUAAUCUUUCCUUUUUAAGAAAACAGAUCCUCACCGUCGAGAGCCGUCGUCUUGGCCAAUCGUUCUUCAUCGAGUUGAAGACGAUAAGUUAGGACGAUCGAGUGGCUCUUCACCGUAGAAACGAUCCCGUGGCAUCAAUCCGUGUCUCCAGGAAGGAUCCUUCGUUGGCGAAGGAGACGCAUGGCGGUCGUCUCGAGAAUUCAUAUCCGUGCACUGUCACACUAAACUCUCUUGUUCACACACACCAUUGACUUUCCGUCACGUUCUUACGUUAGUUCGUUCGUACGUUGGUACGUUAGUUCGUUCGUUCGUUCGUUCGUUCGUAUGUUCGUUCGUUCGUUCGUUCGUUCGUUUGUUCGUUCGUUCGUUCGUUCGUUAGUUCGUAUCGUUUUUUUCUUUGUCAAAUAGAAGAAGAUAAAGCUCGAUAGAUAAAGAAAAGAAAGUAAUCGAGCAAUGGAGAAACACCACAGAAUGUAAACGCGCGCGUUUGGAUGGUACACUAUCGCUCGCGUGUAAUAAACAACAGAUAACAGCACAUCUGUACGCGACGACGUCCGACGAGCGAGUGGAGCUACGGCCAAUACCCCCACCACCGCUCUUCGUGCCGCGCGACGCGUUCACGGAGCGUCUGUCGGGUAGAAGGGUGAGGGGAGGGGGAGAAAUAGAGAGCCGAGCGAAGCCGAGCACGAUCGAGCUCGGCAGUAGAGCACUGUAGUGGGAGCAAUACAGAAGGGAAAGAGUGUGCGGUAGGGGAGUCGCGCGCCGUUAACGCCGCCUGGUGGGGUUAACGUCAGGGGCGUGAGCGAAGAAGGGGCGUCCCAGCGAAACAGAGAUAGAGAGUGAAAAAGAGAAAGAGAGUUCUCUUAGCUUGCUCUAUACACCACCUCCGGCGGUACGUUCAGCUCCACGCGACUUCACGAGUGAAACAUUUCGCGGGUUUCGCGGGGAGCUUUUCCGCAAGACUCGCUGGUGGGAGGUUGAAGGUGGUGGAGGAGCGAAGGAAGGACAACGGUAUUCCCGUUAAUUGAACGACUCUCUCGCGUGGGGAAGGAGGUACCUGGAAGGGAGACGCGACACUCUCUACUCCGGAUCGAGAAGAGGGAGAAGGAUUACUCGCAUAGAUGCGACUCUAGAUAAGAGUUUUGACAAGUGCGCCUGCGACCGUCUAUGGGGUGCCGACUAAACGACGAGCCAUGGCUUGAGGAACUCAGGGAGAGGCACGUACGAGUUAGUGUUUUUAUUUCAAGAAAGCAGUGUGAUCAUUUGCAACAUAGCCACACUACGAACGUUACUAUGGAUAAAUAAAUUAAGAGUUGUAAAAUUCAUAGAAUGGACGAAGAGGAGACCAGAAAGUCGAUAGAUAUGCGAGAAGUGUUAUAAAUUUCCUGCGGAAACCUCUGAUUUUUAGUGGCAAUGAUUUUGCAGGGACAUGACAUCCGCCUACGCUAGGCUACCAUGUAAGGUGCGUUUAUUUUGGCGACCUUUACGACGCGAGUUUACGAUCGCCUGAACGCUUUCGUGAACUUCGUAAUGAUUUUCGGAAGUUUGCGGAAAAAACAUCGAAGAGAAAAAAGUUUUUGGAUCGUUCGACUCUAUCAAGGAGGUUCCACGGGAGAAACAAUAAAAUUCACUGAAUUAUUAGCCGUUAUCGUGGACGGGAGUAGACAGCAGAAAUAAGAAACAGAUUCUUCUGAAAAAUGAAAUAGUAUAAAAAACGAAACAACAACAUUCAACUAACGUUGAGGAACGAUCGAAUAGCCAAAGGGAACUAGAGAAAGAGAGAGAAAAGGGACGCGAAAAAGAGCGACGCGUAUCGUAGCUCACGGAAAAAGGAAUGGAAAGUUAAGAAAAGGCAAAGGUUCAACAGGGGAAUACAAUUUUACAACGUUGAUAUCAAAUCGACGAUUAAUGGAAAAUAUCCGUAUACGCGUAUCCUUACUGUGCUUUGGUAGAUUUAAAAAACGAAGGACAUUGUGGCAUAGUCUAAGUUAGAUUAUAUGAACCUACGGAGCAAUCUUAUGCAAUGGAGCUACUGAAAUCUUAAUUCAAGCAGGCGCGCUGUGCCAUUGAAUACGUUGACGGGGGUAGCGCCUUUCAAAAGCGUCGCUUACAAGCACGUUACAUACACGGUUAGGUAAUUAUAUUUACCUUUUCAACUAUAUUAUUUACGUCUGCUAUAAAGGGGUAGAUCCUUAUGGUUCCUCUCAUUCUCUCAUUCUCUCUCUCUCUACUUCUUUUCUGUGUUCCACCUAAGAAUGAAAAAUCAAAUUUUUUUCUUUAAAAACUAGAAAGCCUAUAUAAUUUUCUAUAGAAAAAGUAAGCGACUUGGGUAAUUUCUCAACUAUUUAUAAAAUAAUUUUACUUUACAGAUCCAUUUUUGAAAAUUCAGUAUCUCGAAAAAUUUGUAUGUAACCAAUACCGAGUGAACAACUGCACAUUUUAAUAUGCAUUCAAAUGAGUUUUAUGACUGCAAAAACCUUGUUUAAAAAAUUGCAAUAAAAAGUUUUAGCAAUAUCGAUGCGUAAACUCUUUUUUUUUUGCUUUUUUUUUUUUUUUUUAAAUAUAUGAGGACAAAUUACACCAUGAAGUUGGAAUUAUAAUGAUGACAAAAGCACAUUGUUGAUUAAUAAGGAAACAUUGAAAAAGGGUAGAUAAGUAUGCGUUAACUUUGGAAGAGGAAAAAAGAGAAAGAACAUAUCUGGUCAUUUGAAUGACAUAGAAAAUUGUAGUUAUAGUAAUAAAUUUUUCGUAGAAGGAAAGAAAAGAUUCAUAUUACGCAAGAUAAAAUUUGAAGAUCCACUUGAACAUGAUGAUCAAGUAGAACUUUGUAGAAUCGCACACGAUCAUUUUGGUGUGUGGGAAAAGGCAAGAGAGUGUGGGAAGGUUAAACGGGAACGAGUUAGAGAAAGGAUACGAUUCUGCUUGUCUCUGGGACGGAAGUGACGUCGCAGUCACCGGCGGAAAUUCGUACUGGAAAUUCCGAUGGGUUCGAGAGGUUGUGGGAGAAAGGUAAAGGGAGGGCAACAAUCAGGGUAGACCCGGUAUUACGCUCCAUUCAUCCCCUACUGACACCCCUUACCACCCUCGAACCGUAUUUGGCUGACAAUUCUUCAUUUGCGUGCAGCAAACUCUCUACUGUGUGUGCCACGACCGUAGCGAAAGGUUUAAACCGCUGGUUGGUUCACGUUCGAAAGAGGCUACUGAUCCGUCUCUAUCACGUGAUUUUACCUUUAUUCCUCAUAAUCGUGAAAGUAACCUUUGUUCUUGGUUUAAACUUCGAAGAUGAUUAUUUAUUUACUUUUCUUAACUAUUCUUGACAAUUUAAUCUGUUAAGUCUGAUUACGUUAUGAAUCUCGUUUCGAUAAUUUAUAAUGACAAAUAGUCAAUAUUUAUUUAACAAUUUUUAAUUUAAUUGAAACCAUAGAUUUGUAUGUCAACAUUACGCAAAUGAUCAAACUUGAUCUGUCGAAUGAUCAUCAUUUCAAGCUACGAGAAGUUUCCUUGUUAGACCAAACAGUUACCUAGUACGAGAUGUGGAUAGACUAAGCACUAUUCUUUCUCGAGCACUAUUCUUUCUAUUUCUUUCCUUACAAUCUUUUUGAUGGUUUGAACAAGAUGGCAAUUGAACUUGUCGAAGACAUCGCUGGGAUAAGGUCAAAUGGGCAUUUCGUAUCGCAUUGUACAAUGUAUGCAUCUACAUUAUCAAAAUGAUUAUUUUUAAUAAAUUUGAAUAGGGCAAAAAGGGCAUUAUCGUACUAUUCAUACUUUUACAAAUUAUAUGAAUGAUUUGGUAAAUCAACAAUUUAGUAAUAUCUACAUCAUGUUUUAUCCAAAGGAAUUUGAAGAAAUCAUAGAAAUCAGGAUAAUAAGGAGAGAUAGAGAAAAAGAGAGAAAGAAAGAGAAUCGUUUGUACAAGCAUUUCUUCGACUGUUAGGUGGUCCAAUUUGAGAAGGUGCUAUACCAUGAGAAAAAAAGGAAGCAGAAAGAGUAAGAGAAGUGCCGUACGUGAGGGCCAACGGUAAGAGGGGAAAAAGGCAAGAGGAGGAACGUCAAAUUGAUCCAUAUUAAUAAGAACGGAGAUUCGCGUUGCCGGACUUUUGCAUAAAUUUGAAUCGGCCCUCAUACAGCUCGCGGCAAGGGUUGCGAAUUUGAAUAAUCGAGAAUAAUUUCGAAGUUUUCUCGUGCAAACGCGAGGUAGCGUGCGCGCGUCCGCGACUACGGACGUGAUCAGCCGACGUUUCGAAAUAUUUCCUAGUGUAACGCUUUUCUCUCUUCUUCCAUCUCCUUCCCCCACUCCAACAUCAUCCACUACACUGCCAUCUCGUUCCGUCCGGUAGAUGUAGGUAAUUAACCGCAUGCACCAGCCAGAAUUGGAAAAAUACAGAACGCUUUAGAAAUCAGGCUGCGUUUUCGCUGUUUGUGGUUUUAAUAAAUUUUACGGACACCAGCAUGCUUUUUCUCCCUUUCUUCCCUUUCUUUCUUUCCUUUCUUCCUUCCUUUCUUUUUUUUUUUUCCUCACCUGGAAAAAAGAAAUGUAGAGUAACUUUUACCAUACGCUGUUACGAAUCAAAAGUUUUUGACUCUACGAAAGGAGAUUAUUAACAUAUGAGGUUAGGAUGGACGAGAGGCGGCGUACCGCAUGAUUCGUUUAAAAUAUGCUCGCCGUAGGCGACUCGAACAUCUAGGGAAUUCGUACUGUUCAAAUACAAUUGGAUUUUGAUUUAGAGGAAUACUGAAGAGUGUCUAUGAGAAAUUUGAUUUCUAGAUUGCAUAGAUUAUUAUAAUUGAAUUGAAUGUACAUAGAUAUUCGGAUUAACAUAUAUGAAAAGUAUUAGAUAGUUAUGUUAAAUUACAGUAAAAUAGAAAAAAAAAGAAAACAAAAAAACAAAAAUGUAAUAAUAUUCCCUGUUGCUCUGGACAUGUAUUCUUUUGGCUUGUCAUUUUGGAUUAAAAAUUGAUUACUUCAAUUGGAAUCGCAUCGCGCUUUGACGCGUGUCGGACCGAGGAGAGAUAUGCUCGUUUCGUUCCAUCUCUUGGCAGAUUAAAGGCAAUCUUAUCACAUAGAAUGACGAGGUCUUGUGAUCGAUCACAAAAAGUAUGCAACGGAACUAUCGCGUCUCUAAGAGAAUAGACAAAGACGGACAUGUUCGAGGAACGGACCACCCGUUGAGAAUGAGGAAUGUGGAACUGUACCAGCAGGGACGGAGAUCAGUCUCUCUCUUUCUCUCUCUCUCUCUCUCUCUCUCUGUCUCUCUCUCUCUCUCUCUCUCUCUCUCUCUCUAUACUUUUGCUCUUCUACACAUUUCGAAUCAAAUUUAUUUCGACCAUGUCCUAUCUAUGAUACCUGUCCUUCAAAAUGACUCGGUAGUUUUACGAUUAAUCUUUUUUUAAUAUUUUACACUUUGAAAGUAUUUUCUUUAUUAUUUAAAGAGAACGAAUAGUACGGAUAAAGUCUGUACGGAUAAUACAUAAAUAAAUAACACGAUAUGUACAUUCGUAGGAAUGAAAUUCUUCCUUUUACGAAAUCGCGUUCCUUCCGGGGCUCCCAGAAGUUGUUCCACAGUCCCUGGUCUCUCGUUCCGUAUGGUCUAUCCUAUUAUAAUGUCGACCAUGCGCGUCUGUCGUCCGUAUGAUCUCCAGAGAGAUGGAAGAGUGUAAAACGUCGGGCACCUGGACAGAGAAAACGAUAGAGAAAGAGAAAGAGAGAAAUAGAGAUAGACAGUUUAGCUGGGCAUUGUGAGGAGACAAAUAUGAGUUAAUACAUCAUCCAGGGACCUAUUCAAGCUUCAGGAACGACGUGAGUGGUGAUCACGAAUUGGUUGGUGUAUAAAUACCUUUUAAUUGCUAUCUCUCUUCCUCACCCUGCCGGCCCUCGUUAUUCUUGUCUCUUUCCAUAUCUUUCUCUUUCAGCCGCCUUCAUUGCGUCGAGGAAACACAGACGAUGAGAAAGUAUGACAUAGAGAACAAGACUAAAAGAAGAACUCUUGCCUUCUUGAUUAUCUUCAAAGUUCAUCAACCCGGUGUUAUUCGGAUAAGGUUGAAAAAGAAAUAAUUCUUCUUCUUUUUUUUUUUUUCUUUUUCAACGGAUAAUCCAGGUAUUCUUGGUAUAUCAAGAGUGUUUUAUUUAUAUCCUAACUUUAUUUAAAGCUAUUGAAAAGUGGUAGACAGAGAGAUAUAGCAAUUAAUUUGUUUCCUAAUUCAUUCACCGAUACCUUUUGGUAUCAAUGGGAUGACUUUCUCGGUUAAGAUAUUACGAAGCAAGUAACGUGUAUAGAGCAUUGAUAGAUGGAUUAAACUAAUUCGAACAUUACAAACAAACUUUAGCAAGGGCUUGUUUAAAGUUGUGUUAUUCAAGGCGCUAUACUCCAAUUAUGUGUACCGAAGCACUUUGAUCAUAGUCAUCCUCCGUGUUUAUCAUGAAGAUACCUCGAAGCAUUGGCAUCGAUCUUGGUGGACUCUCUUCUGUAAUUUCUUUGGUCUUACAGAUUAUUUACAGUUAGAGAUAGAAUGUAAAGUUUAAUGUAAAUCCCUUACAGAAGUAUAUACUUUUUUUUGUAAUUAAGUAUACGUGCGUGCGAGUUAAUAUGUUUAAAAAUAUGAUCAUUUUAUAUGUAUUCAUUAAUUAGAUUAAUACAUAUAAUAGUUUUAAAAGUAUUUCGGCUAAGUUUGUAUGAUUUAUUAAUUUCGAAAAUCCAUUUGGAUAUUGAUAUAUAAAAUUGCAAAAAUAUUAUUUCUUAUAGAAAACAUAUAGCUCUACGCCUAUGGGCCAAAAGGGUACUUACAUAUGCACGUUCUUCGUACACGCAUGUACUCAGAAAUGCACGUCGGGGAGUAUACGAAUGUAAGGUAUACGUCAGGCUCACUGUCAGUGUCGUAUCUUUGCAUUGACAUGAUGGACGGUCGACGUGAAAUUAACAAUGUUAUCCGGUCAUUAAUCCGUACGUGCAUGUACAACGUGACCGUCCAAAGCCUAUUAAUUAAAUUAGGUCUAUCUAGGUCCCUUUAGAUUGCCGUCUAUAUCUUGGAUGCCUCGGGUUAUUCUGCUCGAUUACCUUAGCUUUCUCUCUACCUCCCUCCCACUCUUUCUCUUUCUCUCUUUAUCUAUCUCUUUUUAUCCCUUUUUCUUAUGCCCUUUCUACAGUUUUACUCUUUAUCCUCCUUAGAGAUUAAAAAUCAAAGAUUUAAAUUAGACUCUAUCAAUGAAGUAUAUAUCUAUAU